rnacentral:rRNA from 1 species
UACGUAGGGGGCUAGCGUUGUCCGGAAUCAUUGGGCGUAAAGAGCGUGUAGGCGGUCUGCUAAGCGUGCGGUGAAAGCCUGGGGCUCAACCCCAGGUCUGCCGUGCGAACUGGGGGACUCGAGCACUGUAGAGGCAGGCGGAAUUCCGGGUGUAGCGGUGGAAUGCGUAGAGAUCCGGAAGAACACCGGUGGCGAAGGCGGCCUGACUGGGCAGUGGCUGACGCUGAGGCGCGACAGCGUGGGGAGCAAACAGG